rnacentral:rRNA from 1 species
GACGAACGCUGGCGGCGUGCUUAACACAUGCAAGUCGAACGCUGAAGCUUGGUGCUUGCACUGGGUGGAUGAGUGGCGAACGGGUGAGUAAAACGUGAGUAACCUGCCCUUGACUCUGGGAUAAGCCUGGGAAACUGGGUCUAAUACUGGAUACGACAUGUCACCGCAUGGUGGCGUGUGGAAAGGGUUUUACUGGUUUUGGAUGGGCUCACGGCCUAUCAGCUUGUUGGUGGGGUAAUGGCUCACCAAGGCGGCGACGGGUAGCCGGCCUGAGAGGGUGACCGGCCACACUGGGACUGAGACACGGCCCAGACUCCUACGGGAGGCAGCAGUGGGGAAUAUUGCACAAUGGGCGAAAGCCUGAUGCAGCGACGCCGCGUGAGGGAUGACGGCUUUCGGGUUGUAAACCUCUUUCAGCACGGAAGAAGCGAAAGUGACGGUACGUGCAGAAGAAGCGCCGGCUAACUACGUGCCAGCAGCCGCGGUAA